rnacentral:rRNA from 1 species
UACGUAGGCGGCAAGCGUUAUCCGGAAUUAUUGGGCGUAAAGAGCGCGCAGGUGGUUGAUUAAGUCUGAUGUGAAAGCCCACGGAUUAACCGUGGAGGGUCAUUGGAAACUGGUCGACUUGAGUGCAGAAGAGGGAAGUGGAAUUCCAUGUGUAGCGGUGAAAUGCGUAGAGAUAUGGAGGAACACCAGUGGCGAAGGCGGCUUCCUGGUCUGUAACUGACACUGAGGCGCGAAAGCGUGGGGAGCAAACAGGAUUAGAUA